AUAGAGACUCAGAGCUGCAUAUCAAUAAGCGGAGGAAAAGAAACUAACAAGGAUUCCCUUAGUAACGGCGAGUGAAGCGGGAAGAGCUCAAAUUUGAAAUCUUCAAGGUUCUACCUUGACGAAUUGUAGUUUAAAGAAGUGUUUUCUGUUAGAUGAGUAGCAAAAGUUCCUUGGAGUGGGACAUCAUAGAGGGUGAGAAUCCCGUAUUUGGUUAUUCAUUCUAGCUGUGUGAUACACUUUCAAAGAGUCGGAUUGUUUGGGAAUGCAGUCCAAAAUGGGUGGUAAAUUUCAUCUAAAGCUAAAUAUUGGCGAGAGACCGAUAGCGAACAAGUACCGUGAGGGAAAGAUGAAAAGAACUUUGAAAAGAGAGUUAAACAGUACGUGAAAUUGUCAAAAGGGAAGCGUUUGACACCAGUGUUGUUUUUCCGAAAAUCAAUUACGAAUGGCUGGAUUUUGUGUUGUAUUGACCUUAUCAGCUUUCUGCACUUUUUUCGAGUCUUUCUUAAUGCACUUUUCGGUUAACAAGUCAACAUCAAUUUCUUUUGUUGUAAAAGAGUAUUCGGAAGGUGGCUUUCUUUUCGGAGAAAGUGUUUAUAGCCCUAUACUUCUACAAUCGGAGAGAUUGAGGUCUGCAGCGUAGAUCCUUCGGGGUUAGAUACAUUUGUGCUAAGUUGUAGCUUUUCAUAGACAACUUGUUGACUAUGUUUAGUCAUGCGGCUUACUCGCUUGUGCUAUUUUACCUACGCUUAGGAUGUUGACGAUCAGCUGAGCGCG
rnacentral:rRNA from 1 species